rnacentral:lncRNA from 1 species
AAUAUAACUCAAUGCAGAGAAUAAAAAAGAAUACGUAAAAUAUAUAUAAUGUGUAUAUACUACUCGGCUAUUGCUGGAGUCCCCAGUAUAUUACCCUUUCUCUUCACAUCACCCUCCUGUCUCACUAGAGGUAUCCUGAGUUGUGUGUUCAUCGUUCUUUGGCUUUUCUUUAUAAUUUCUUAACAUAUGUGUAUAUCCUACUUUUUAAUAAACUUACAUGUUUUUGAAAUUUCUAUACAAGAUGAUGUCAUACCAUGUGAAUUAGGGUUCUCCUAAGAAACAGAGCCAGUAGGAUGUGUGUAUAUAUAUAUUAAGAGAGAUUUAUUUUAAAGAAGUGGCUCGUGUGAUUUUUGGGCCUGCCAAGUCUGAAAUCUGCAGCACAGAGAGACCGGGGGAAGAGUUGAUGUUGCAGCUUGAGUCCCAAGGCAGUUUGGAGGCAGAAUUCCUUCUUCCCUGGGGGGCCUCAGGCUUUUCUUUUCAGGCCUACUACUGAUUGGAUGAGGCCUACCCACAUUGUAGGUUUUACUCAAAGUCUACUGACUUAAGUAUUAAUCAUAUCUGAGUAUUAAUUCACAGCAACCUCUAGACUGGGUACUAUAGCCUAUCUAAAUUAACACAUAAAAGUAACCUCACACUAUGUGUAUUCCCAGGAUUUGCUUUUUUCAUUCAACAUUUUGUUUUCGAGAUUCUUCCAGACCAUAGUUCUGGUUCAUUCAAAUUUCUUGCUAAAUAGUAGUCCAUUGCAUGAAUGUAUCACUAUUUCUUCACCCAUUGUUCCUGUUGAUGAACAUGUGAGUUAUUUCCUUUUAUUCCCUGUUACAAACAAUAUUGCUGUGAACGUUUUAGAUUAUGACACCUAGUGUUCAAGUACAAGAGUUUCUUUAGAUUAUAUACAUAGAAGUGAACUUACUGGCUCAUAGGAUAAGCAUGCAUUCAAUUUGUAUGAUAAGGCUAAAUUGUUGUUCAAAGUGAUGUGCCAGUUCACACUCUUACCAACAAUAGGUGAGCGUUGUGCCCUAUUGUGCCCCAUCUUGAUCUUGCCAGGCUUUUUAAUGUUUGCCAGUGUUUUAUUCAGAAAUACGAUUCCUGGCUUCUCUCAUGACGUCUAUUAAAUACGAGCUGUGUGACCAUUUUCACAAAACUAUUAGGCUCCUACCAGCCUUAAAUUCUACUGAUCCCAAACUCUUAUCUCAAACCAUUCAGAUAGAUAAUGUUAGAAAACAAAUCAAAUUCACAACGAUCUACUGUGCUUCAACACUGAAGACAUUUAAUUUAACUUGGUUCAGGAUAUUCAUUGGUUAACAUGCCAGAAUAUAAAUCAGGCAGUUGGGUGUCAGCUUCUGAGUAAGGAACCUAAUGUGUCUGACUGUUUCUAUACAGCACAGUUGAGUAGGAAUGGAAUUACACUUUGUCUAGGGCAAUAGGAUAAUUACAACUGAGUUUUUCAUGUUAAACAGAUGUUACUAAGUCGCUUGAAAUAGCACAGUCCACUUUGGGCUUCUUACUAUUUAACAUAUUUUCUAUUAGAGGACUGUGAAUUUGGGGAAAUCAAGGGCAGUUGGUUGGAGCUUGAAAAUUUGACAGCUUUGCUUUAUCAAGUGUUGGUUUAGAGAAGACUUUUCUGAGUUUUUAAAAAAUAGUUUUCUCCUCAGAACAUUAUUAUUUCAGAGGGCUUAAUUAAUAAUCUAUUUUUUGAAAUGAAAGCAUGUGCUAGUCAAACACACAAAGAUGCCUACUCUGAGAGCAACAUUUAGCCUAAUUUUUGGACUUCAAGUAGAAUUAGCAAUUCCAUUUCCAUUUCUUACUAGUGACAAAUAGAAUUUGGAUUAAGAGGUUUCCAUAUGAGUAGUAAAUAAAUGCAUAUCAAGAACUUAGUGUAAACAUUGCCUAAAACAAGCCUAUUUCUCUCUAAAACAAGUUCUGUUUAGAGAUAGACCAGAUCCAGCACACUUUUCUCUAAAGGGCCAGAUAGUAAAUAUUUUAGGCUUUGUUGGCCACACAGUCUGUUGCGUCUACUUAACUCUGAUGUUAUAGCGUGAAAACAGCCAUAAACAACACAUAAACAAAUGACUGUGGUUAUGUUCCAAUAAAACUUUACUCAAAAAGCAGGUAAUAGACUGGGCUUAGCUUGCAGGUUGCAGUUUGCAACUCAAUUUAGACUAAGUAAAUGAUAUCAAGUAUUAAGCAUCAUGCGCAAAACAUCUGUUCUCAUACUUUCGCCUCUUGCCUAUCUGCCCUCCCUCGAAUAUGAGGGAAUCCCUGCCAAGCCUCCUUAUUAUGAUUUUUUCAGAGGAUAAUUACACUGGGCUUUGUGUUGUGCUAUUGGUACUGCAUUUUAAAAGCUUAACGCACUGUUUCUAAGGACAUCGUGCAUUCCAUGGGACUGUUUAUAGGAAAGUUUUGACUGAUUGAACUGUUUAUUUAUUGAUUGCCACAGUCCUGUCAGGUGGGAGAAAAGGCUGCUCAGCUAGGCUAGUUAAGGCUACAGAUUUGACAGGUGCCUAAGCUUUUAAACCACAGGCCCAUGGGGAGUGGGUGGGCCUUUCCCCUAGCACCUGUGGCCUGCUGACAGUCAGCAUUCCUCCCACUGUCUACCCUGUGCCAGCUCCAGAAGGCAAAGUCCACACAUUGCGACACAUCACAAGCUAUUCUUCUCCUGCCUCUUAUGAAAUCAACUGAGCACAGUGUGGAACAUGGGGUGUGAACCUGAUCCAACAAAUUCUGCUUAUAUCUGAUAAUCACGAGGAAUGGAUAUUGGACUUUCAUGGGAUCACUCUGGUGGCUCUGUUGCACACUGGUUGAAAGGAAGUCACAUGUGGAAGCCGAAAGACUAGUUGGGGGCUAUUGCAAUAAUCUUAGUGAGAGACAAUGGUGACUCAGAAGUGAAGAAAAGGGGAAAUGUUGUGGAGAUAUUUUCAAGGUAUAGCUAGCAGGAUUCUUUUAUUUAAAUAAAUUGAAUGUGGGAUAUAAGGAAAAUAAGAGUCAGGGAUGACUCCAAGUUUUUGGAUCUAAGCAACUAUAGUUUCCAUUAAGUGAAGUGGGAAAUAAUAUUUUACAGAUAGCAUGACUGUAUAUGCAGAAAAUCCAAGGAAUCAAUAGAUAAGUUAUUAAAGUUAAUACAGAAGUUUAACAUAUUGUCAAAUGAAAGUAGGUAUACAAAAAUCAAUAGAAUUUCUAUACACUGAAAACAAAUAUAAUAAAAAUUUAAAAUUAUCAAGAUAAUUGCAUUAAUAGCUGGAAUUAAAUCUAGAGUGAUGUCAGCAAGACGGUUGAAUAAGACAUCCCUUGCUCUUAUCCUCCUCGACAACAAUAAUUUGACAUCCGUCCACAGACGGAAGUUCCUGUGGGAUCCUGGAGCUGUGGGAUCCUGGUAGGAGACUGUGAAACCCUGGUGCAGUCCUAAACCGAGGAGAAUAAUUUAAAGAAGGCAAGCUUGUGCCAAGGUGACUUACUCACUGACAGUGGUCCCAGCUGGAAACAGCUCCAUACCCUGAGGAUUUGGCCACAGCCCCAUUUGGCCUUGGUCUUGUCACCAGCACUACAUGCCAUGGGACCCAGGAGGAGUCAUGCCCACCCAUGCAUCAUGUCAUAAGCAUACAGACCUAAGUCCUAGCUGUGGACCAUAAAGUGGCCCACAAACCUGCUCCAGCCCCUGUCAGCUACAAUCCAGGUGUCCCUGGAAGUAAGCUCACCAAACUCAGUCAGACUGUAGAUUCUGAAAGGGAUCUAUAACUUGGCUCCAGCCCAUCCUAUCCAUAGUCUUCCAGUAAUCCUGCUGGCACAGGGACCUGGCAGGAGACACUUCCACAUGAGCCCCUGGAGAUCCUGAAAGAGUCCUAUACUUGGCUCCAGCCCCUUCACAGCCACAGUCUGCCAACAGUUCUGAGGAUCCAGGGUCCCAGUGGGAUACACUCCAGUCUGCACCCCUAGAGAUUCCAAAAGGGCCCUAUACUCAGCUCUGGCCUCUCCAGUUGCAGUCAGGAAUCCAGCCUGCCCAGGGACCUGGAGGGAGACAUGCCCAUCUGUGCCUCCAGAGCCAGGUCUGCAGACCCCAAUCUUGGCUGUGGAACAUGAGGCAGCCCUGAGGCUUAGUUCCAGCUCUCAGCCACAGUCCAGAGCCAGUCCUGCACCCUAAGGUACUCAUCCAGUAACUAGGCAGGAGUCUUCCCAGGAACCUUGUCAGAGUAACACCCAUCCACACACCUGAUAAAGGCCUACUGUCUGAGGACCCAACUGUGGACCCUGAAGCGGACUCUUCUCCCGGUGCCACUCUACUAAACAAGGUACUGGAAGCAGGCCCAUCCACCCAUGGAUCAGACAGGAUCCAUGUCAACCCAAAUCCCUGGUUACAAGCGCACCAAUUGCAGCCCCCAUUGCAGACCUUGUAACUGGCUCCAACCCAGUAUGCCUGCAACUCCAGAGGUAACCUCAUCAACCUGGGAGGGGAAACUGAAAGGAGAAGAUCUUUGAAAUCAGUUGAGACCAGUCUAUUGAAACCAGUCUACAAAGACUGGAAGAGGUGUUUACGCCUUCUUAUGCACAGACGCUAAUGCAAGGCUACAUGGAUUAUGAAGAAUCAGGCAAAUAUGACACCACCAAAGGAAACUAAUAAAGCUCCAGUAACUGACCCCAAAGAAAUGUAGGUCCAUGAUUUGCCGGACAAGAAAUUCAAAAUAAUUGUCUUAAAGAAAUUCAAUGAAAUGCAGGACAACAUGGGUAGAUAACUAAAUGAAAUCAGGAAAACAAUGCAUGAAAAUGAGAAGUUUAAUAAAGAAACAGAGAUCAUAAAAAAAAAAAACAGAGAUCUUUAGCUAAAGAAUGAAAUGACAGAACUAAAAAAUUCAAUAAAUUCAACAGCAGACUUGAUCAUGCAGAAGAAUGAAUCAGCAAACUCAAAGACAGAGCAUUUACAAUAAGCCAGUUAGAGGGAUAAAAAGAAAAAAGAAUGAAAAAGAAAGAAAAAAGAAUGAAGAAAGCCAUUAUGAACUUUGGGACACCAUCGAGUAAAUGAACAUUUGCAUAAUGGGAGUCCCAGAAGGAUCAGAGACAGAGAAAGGGGCCGAAAGCUUAUUUAAAGAAAUAAUAGCUGAAAACUUCCCAAAUCUUGCGAGAGAUAUGAACAUCCAGGUACAGGAAGCUCAAAGGACUCCAAGCAAGAUGAACACAAAGAAGAUUACUCCAAGAUGCUUUAUAAUCAAAAUGUUAAAGGCCAAAAACAAAGAGGGAAUCCUGAAAGCAGCAAGAGAAAAGCUUCCUCAUCACAAAUAAGGGAAGUCCCAUAAAGCUAUCUGUCGAUUUCUCUGCAGAAACCUUGCAGGCCAGGAGGGAGUGGGAUGAUAUAUUCAAAGUUCCAACAAAUUGGAUAACCUAGAAGAAAUGGACAAAUUCCUGGAAACAUACGACCUAUCUAGACUGAAUCAUGAAGAACUAGAGACUCUGAACAGACCAAAAAUGACUGAGGAGUUUGGAAGCAGUAAUCAAAAACCUCUUUACAAAGAAAAGCCCAGGCCCAAAUGGAUUCAUUGGUGAAUUACACCAAACAUUUAAAGCAUGUGUAACGCAAAUCCUUCUCAAAUUCUUCCAAAUAAUUGAACAUGGGAGAACGCUCCCAAACUCAUUUUAUGAGGCCAGCAUAACCCUGAUACCAAAGCCAGAUAAAGACACCGCAAGAAAAAUGCAGACCAACAUUCCUAACAAAUAUAGAUGCAAAAAUUCUCAACAAAAUCUUAACAAAUCAAGUUCAACAGCACAUUAAAAGAAUCACACACCAUGAUCAGGUAGGAUUUAUCCCUGGGUUUCAAAGAUGGUGCAAUAUACAUAAAUCAAUAAACGUGAUACAACACAUUAAUAGAAGAAAGAAUAAAAAUUAUAUGAUCCUUUCAACAGGUGUAGCAAAAGCAUUUGACAAAAUUCAACACCUUUUCGUGAUAAAAAGCUCUCAAAAAAUUGUGUAUAGAAUGAAUGUAUCUCAACCUAAUAAAGGCCAUUUAUAGCAAGCCCACAGCAAACAUAUUUAAUGGUGAAAAGCUGAAAGCUUUUCUUCUAAAUUCAGGAAUAAGACAAGGGUGCCCACUCUCACCCAUCCUAUUCACCAUAGUUCUGGAAGUCCUAGCCAGAGAUAUUAGGCAAGAAAAAUAGGCAAAAGGCAUCCAAAUAGAAAAGGAAGUAAAAUCAUCUCUGUUUGCAGAUAAUAUGAUCUCAUAUACAGAAAACCCAAAAAACUCCAUCAAAAAACUGCUAUAACUAAUCAACAAAUUCAAUGAAGUUGCAGGGUACAAAAUCAGCAUACAAAUACUUGCAUUUCUAUACACUAACAAUGAAAUAUCUUAAAGAGCAAUAAAAAAUUCCCAUUCACAAUAACAUCAAAAAUAAUGAAAUAGGAAUAAGUUUAACCAACGAAAUGAAAGAUGGUAAAGAUAUUCCAUGUUCAUGGAUCAGAAGAAUUAACAUUGUUAAAGUGUCCAUGCUACCAAAGCCAUCUAUAAAUUCAAUACAAUAUCAGAAUUCCAAUGGCAUUUUUUACAGAAAUAGGAAGAAUAGUCCUGAAAUUCAUAUGGAACCACCAAAGGCUCCCAAUAGUCAAAGCAAUCCUGAGAAAGAAGAACAAAGCUGGAGGCAUCAUACCUUCUGAUUUCAAGCUAUGUUACAAAGUUAUAGUAAUCAAAACAGUAUGGUACUUAUGUAAAAAAAAGACACAUAGACUAAUGGAACAGACUCAAGAACCCAGAAAUAAACCCAUGUGCAUACACUCAAUUAGUAUUGGACAAGCGAGCCAAGAAUACUCAAAUGAAGAAAGGAUAGUCUUUUCAAUAAAUGGUAUUGGGAAAAUUGGAUAUUCACAUGCAAAAGAAUGAAAUUGGACUCUUACCUUACAUCACUCACAAAAAUUAACACAUUAAAGAUUUAAAUGUAAGACCUGAUACCAUUACACUCCUAGAAGAAAACAUAGGGGAAAAGUUCCUUGACAUUGGUCUUGGCAAUGGUUUUUUGGAUUAGGCACCUAAAACACAACCAAUGCAAGCAAAAAUCAACAAGUGGGACUACAUCAAACUAAAAAGCUUCUACAUAGGAAAAAAAAAUCAUUGCAAACUAUAUAUCAGAUAAGGGGUAUAAUAUCUAAAUAUAUAAGGAGUUUAUACAACUCAAUGGCAAACAAAAAGCCUAACAACUCUCCUAAAAUGUGGGCUAAAGGCUGGGAUAUACAUUUCUCCAAAUGAGACAAAAAAAUAGCCAACAGGUAUAUGAAAAGAUUCUCCAUGUUACUAAUCAUCAGGGAAAUGCAAUUCAAAACUACAAUCAGAUAUCACCUCACACCUUCUAAGAUGGCUAUUAUCAAAAAACCAAGAAAUAACAAGUGUUGGUGAGGAUGUGGAGAAAUUGGAACCCUUUUACACUGUUGAGAAUGUAAAUUGGUACAGCCACUAUGGAAAACAGUAUGGAGGUUCCUCAAAAAUUUAAAAAUAGAGCUACCAUAUGAUCCACUAAUCCUACUUCUAAGUAUAUAUCUGAAGGAAAUGAAGUCACUAUCUCAAAGAGAUAUCUGUCUUCCCAUGUUAACUGGAGCAUUAUUUAGAAUAGCCAAGACGUGGACACCACCUAAGUAUCCAUCAAUGAAUGAAUGCAUAAAGAAAAUGCA